rnacentral:misc_RNA from 1 species
GGAAGGAUCAUUAACGCUAAUCCAACAACCUAAACCAAGCCUUAAGUUGCAGCAUUGGAUCAAGCUAGCGAAAGCAGGCUAAUUCUUUGCAGCAUCUAACAAAACUAAACAAAAGGAGUUUAACUAAGCUCUUACACUAAAACCAAAUUUUCAACGAUGGAUAUCUUGGUUCCCAUAACGAUGAAGAACGCAGCGAAGUGCGAUAAGCAGUGCGAAUUGCAGAACCGUGAGUCAUCAGAUUUUUGAACGCAAUUGGCGCCAGUUGGCAAUCCAGCUGGCAUGCUUGUUUCAGUGUCUUGUUUUCUCCUCACCCAAAUCUUAAUGUGAGAGAUACCCUUCUCUUGCUAAGUAUGAAAGCACUCUGUACUUUGCAGGCAACCUUGACUUGUCAAGGGUUGCACUCAAUGCAGCAGUCACAUUCACAUGUGAACUCAUUGAGAGUAGAGACAGUGCAGCUAGUCUGCUAGUGCUUAGAUCUCUAAACUUUACUUGCAUCUGAAAUCAAGCAGGAUCACCCGCUGAACUUAAGCAUAUCACUAAGCGGAGGAAAAGAAAUUAACUAAGAUUGCCCCAGUAACGGCGAGUGAAGCGGCAAAAGCCCAAAAUGGUAAUCUUCACACUUCGUGUGACGAAUUGUAAUCUAAAGGUGGAGCACUCAAUUAGUGGAGACGCAGAAGUGCCCUAGAAUGGGCCGCCAGAGAGGGUGACAGCCCCGUAUGUGGUGUCUCUACUUAACGAGUGUCCUUCGAAGAGUCGGGUUGUUUUGAAUUGCAGCCCUAAGCGGGAGAUAGACUUCUUCUAAGGCUAAAUAUAUAUGGGAAACCGAUAGCGAACAAGUACUGUGAAGGAAAGAUGAAAAGAACUUUGAAAAGAGAGUCAAAAGACUUGAAAUCGUUGUGAAGGAAGCGGUAGAAAUUUAUUCUUCAGUUGUGAACAAAGGUUUUUGCCUAACCAUUGGGGCUCUGAGCACUUAAAAGGCUCUCUGUUUCACUUGGGGAAGUGAUUGCUGAGUUCUAGGCUGUGAGGCAAAAUGGGUUUCCACAUCCACAAAAGCUUGGUUAACCUGAUCCGGUUCGCUGGAUAGUUCUCCUGUGCUCGUGGGCGUGCAGACUGAGGAUGCUUUGUGCGAUUUUGCUAAAAUGGUUUUUACCGACCCGUCUCGAAACACGGACCAAGGAGUCUAACAAAUAUGCGAGUGUGCUGGUGGAAAAACCAACAUGCGUAAUGAAAGUGAUUGAUGCCAAGCGCAAGCAGCAGCAUCGACCGACCAUGAUCCUCCGGUGAAAGGUUUGAGUAUGAGCAUAUCUGUUAGGACCCGAAAGAUGGUGAACUAUGCCUGGGUAGGGUGAAGCCAGGGGAAACUCUGGUGGAGGCUCGUAGCGGUUCUGACGUGCAAAUCGAUCGUCAAACUUGGGUAUAGGGGCGAAAGACUAAUCGAACCAUCUAGUAGCUGGUUCCCUC